rnacentral:lncRNA from 1 species
AGAGCCAGACAGCCAGCUCAAGGAGAUGGGCAAUUUACAGAGAAAGCAGCAUUGUGUUGAUGUUCCUUUCAGCUGGUCCUAUAGUACCCCUCCUCAGGAAUGUCUCCCCAGUGCAAGGACAAAGACUGAAGAGACUGCUAUAUUGAUGGACUCUCAAGCCAACUAUGAAGUUGAAACAAAGAAAGUGAUCACCUGAAGACACCUCCUCUGCUAAGAAACACCCCCAAAUUGUGCAGCUUCUGCCACUAGAACUCUCAGAACAAGAGACAAUCUUUUCAAGAAACAGAAAAACUCAAUAAUGACAUCUAGAUUUUCAUGAGCCAAGAACUUUCCCUUCCUCAUGUGUAUUCCUCUGUUUGUACUUAAAUUCAUGUGACAUUCAUUUUUUUCCUAGUAUGGAUAUGCUUAUUAAUGCACUUGUUUCAAAAUCCCAAAUUGCACAAAUGUGUUAAUAUUUUAAGAAACAAAAUGAAUCCUACAAGGAGAAUGAUUUUUAGCCACACAUAGGGUUGGAUCUUGAGAGUGACCUACAGAAUAA